GGGGGCGUAGCUCAAAUGGUAGAGCGCUCGCUUCGCAUGCGAGAGGUACCGGGAACAAUGCCUGGCGCCUCCG
rnacentral:tRNA from 1 species